rnacentral:rRNA from 1 species
AUUGAACGCUGGCGGCAGGCCUAACACAUGCAAGUCGAACGAGUGGCGGACGGGUGAGUAAUGUCUGGGCAACUGCCUGAUGGGGGGGGAUAACUACUGGAAACGGUAGCUAAUACCGCAUACCAUCGGAUGUGCCCAGAUGUGAUUAGCUAGUAUGUGGGGUAACGGCUCACAUGGGCGACGAUCCCUAGCUGGUUGGAGAGGCUGACCCGCCACACUGGAACUGAGACACGGUCCAGACUCCUACGGGAGGCAGCAGUGGGGAAUAUUGCACAAUGGGCGAAAGCCUGAUGCAGCCAUGCCGCGUGUAUGAAGAGGGCCUUCGGGUUGUAAAGUACUUUCAGCGGGGAGGCGUUACCCGCAGAAGAAGCAACGGCUAACUCCGUGCCAGCAGCCGCGGUAAUUC